GGACUACUGGGGUUUCUAAUCCUGUUUGCUCCCCUAGCUUUCGUCCCUCAGCGUCAGUUGCGAUCCAGCGAGCCGCUUUCGCCUCGGGUGUUCCUGCAGAUAUCUACGCAUUUCACCGCUACACCUGCAAUUCCACUCGCCUCUCUCGCACUCGAGCAUGGCAGUUUCGGAAGCAGCCUCAGGGUUAAGCCCUGAGAUUUCACUCCCGACUUACCACACCGCCUACGGACCCUUUACGCCCAGUAAUUCCGAGCAACGCUGGCCCCCUACGUUUUACCGCGGCUGCUGGCAC
rnacentral:rRNA from 1 species